rnacentral:misc_RNA from 1 species
CAUUAAUGAUUGCGAAUGGUCGCCUUCGGUGCUGGCUUGUAAGAGCAAGUGCACGUUGGCGGCUUUCAUCCAAAUACCCUUGUGAACCUUUGGCCUCUUGCUAGCUUCGGCUGGCAGAGGAUUUUUAUACACACUCGAAUGUAAUGAAAACUAUUGUCGUGCGCAAGCACUAAUGUACAACUUUCAACAACGGAUCUCUUGGCUCUCGCAUCGAUGAAGAACGCAGCGAAAUGCGAUAAGUAAUGUGAAUUGCAGAAUUCAGUGAAUCAUCGAAUCUUUGAACGCACCUUGCACCCUUUGGCAUUCCGAAGGGUAUGCUCGUUUGAGUGUCAUUGUACUCUCACACUCUCUGAUCCUCUGGAUUCGGGA